AGACUGGGUUUUGGUUUCUUUCUCUUCUUUUCUUGUAAAGAAUGAUUGGUUAUACAGGCUUCAACUGAAGUGAUAGCGAGCGUUUGGGAAACAAAAAGAUUUUUCUUUUUGGAGCAAAGUACAAAACAAAAACAUUUAUCUCAUAUGUUUUGGGUGAUUAAUUUUUCAGCUUCUUGAUGAUGAAAGAUUGUCCACAAACGAAGGGAAGUUCUCUGGAGGGAUAAGUUUUCUUUGAAAGCUUCAAACUGAAUACAACCUCCCUUAUCUGAAUUCAAGAAGAGUCUCAGCAUAUAUUCAAAGCACAGAAGAGAAAAAUAGUUGGCAAGAAAUCUCAAUUCUCUCGGGCGUUAUUGGCAAGGUAAACCAAAAGAGAAAGAAAAGGAGAGAAACUUUCGUCUUUCGUGCAAAAUUAAUAUAAGAGAUUAACUUGCCGUCAAAACAAGAAAACAACUAUACAGCUCCAUCAAGAAUUAAAAUGCAAAGAAUCUAAUUCAUAAGCAACUUCGAGGCUUAUUAGAUUCUUUUGCAAUUCACAAGCAUACAACGGUUUUGGUUUUUUGCUAAGGUGAAAAUGGCUACCAAUCAUU
rnacentral:misc_RNA from 1 species